AUUGAACGCUGGCGGAAGGCCUAACACAUGCAAGUCGAGCGAGCGGCGGACGGGUGAGUAAUGUAUGGGGACUGCCCGAUAGAGGGGGAUAACUCCUGGAAACGGUGGCUAAUCCCGCCUCCUGUCGGAUGAACACUAUGGGAUUAGCUAGUAGGUAAGGUAAUGGCUUACCUAGGAGACGCUCCCUAGCUGGGGUGAGAGGAUGAUCAGCCACACUGGGACUGAGACACGGCCCAGACUCCUACGGAGGCAGCAGUGGGGAAUUUUGCACAAUGGGCGCAAGCCUGAUGCAGCCAUGCCGCGUGUAUGAAGAAGGCCUUAGGGUUGUAAAGUACUGUCAGUCGGGAGGCGUUACCGACAGAAGAAGCACCGGCUAACUCCGUGCCAGCAGCCGCGGUAAUUC
rnacentral:rRNA from 1 species